rnacentral:lncRNA from 1 species
GGCGCGGGUGCGCGGUGCGGCGCUGGUAUCCAGAGGACGCGGUCACCGCCUCUGGCAUUUGUCGUUCUGCGCUUCUCCGCAAGGACCCUCUGUUAGGCAGGCGCCCACCGUAAGCCUCCCGGGCCUUGUGAACCUGCAAACCCAAGUCUGAGAGACGAUCCGCCUUCAGCGCUUUCCAGCUUGGCAGAGAGGCUUUCCCGGCGGGGAUCUUUGGUUGGCGCUGGCGAUGCGCGGGGAAGAAAGGCGAGGAGCGGCGUCCAGGCUGGGUGAUGUCCCAGCACGAGUAGGCGGGAUGCGCUCGCUUGGUCCUCCGGGCGCCCGGUCCCUGCCCGCGUCGCGCGCCCACCCCUGGGGACGAGAAGGCGGCCGCCUGAGGACCCCCGCCCGCGACCUCCGCGAGUCUGGAGCGCAGAGGACAGGGUCUGGCUGCUCUUUGGCCUUGGAUGGAAAGUGGGGAAUUGGGUGGGGGGCUGCGGACCCCUUAACGUGGAUUACUUGGUGUGUAUCAGCUGGGCUCAGAAGACCCACGACCUCUUCUCCAUCCGUGGAUUGAUUUGUUCUGCUUAACAGCUGGGUCGCCAAGCUGGAGGUGGAAUCAGAGGUUUCUGGCUGACUCGGUGGGUGCUUUGAACCAGGAAAGGACAAGAAAGAGAAGAUCAGGUUCAAGUUGCCAGCCAGACUCUGGGCUUCCAGGAGGAGUGGGCUGUGGAUGGCCUGGCCUCAUUUGCAUGUCCCUCUCCUCCCGGCCCUGCAGGUGCCACCUCCUGAGUCCUGGUUCCUGCGGCUCCGUCGAAUCUGCAGUGAAGGCCUUUGGGAAGCGUGGGUUAUGUGGGUCCAGGGGUCCCAUCCUCCCGUGGAGGCCCUUGACCUGAGGAUCACUAACUCACACCCCACCGACUUCCGGCCCCCAACAAGGGCAGUGUUCCUCUUGCUCCAUUCUGCUCUGAAGUCCCCCAAACCGCUUCCUGGGGCUGCUUAGUGAAAUACAAGGCUCAUCUCUGAGGACCUCUACAGGGCUGGAUGGGAAGGACUGAUCCACAUUCCCACCAGGAAGUUUAGCAGAACCCCCGCGUGCCACCUGGACCCCUUGGAAGGACCUGGCUCAGGCUGGACCACCUCUUGAGAGGCAGGAGCUCUGGAUUUGAUCAAGAAUUCUUUGCUGAGCAUGGUGCCUCAUGCCUAUAAUCCCAACACUUUGGGAGGCCAGUGUGGGAGGAUCUCUUGAGCCCAGGAGUUCAAGACUAGCCUGGGCAACACAGAGAGACCCCAUCUCUAAAAUAAUAAUAAUAAUAAAAUAAAAAAUUAGCAGGGCAUGGUGGCAUGUGCCUGUAGUCCCAGCUACCCAGGAGGCUGAGGCAAGAGGAUGGCUGGAGCCUGGGAUGUUGAGGCUGCAAUGAACUGUGAUUACCCCACUGCACUCCAGCCUGGGCAAAAGAGCGAGAGACCCUGUCUCAAAUAAUAAUAAUAAUAAUAAUCUUAUUUUGGAGAAUAAAGAGACCUCUGGAUUUGAGGUGCCAUUUGGGUAGAAAGAAAAGACGUUUACACCGAGAAAUAGUCUGUGUUGCCCUGAAGGAGCAGAGGGAUGCAUCGCUGGAGGUGACCUACAGUUGAAGAAGACUCAUUAUGACAGACCUUGUCCUUCUUCCUUGUGGAAAGUGUUUCCUCUGCUGCUACUGCUCAUGAGACUCUUCCCCCUCCCUGUCCCAGGGAACCAAAGGGCUUUCUACCACACCCUUUCUUGCCCCCCGCCUCCCAUGUCUGCUGUGCCUUUGUACUCAGCAAUUCUUGUUUGCUCCAUUAUCUUCCAGCCGGAUACAGAGUGAAUAGUUAACCACACUUAGGUCAAAUAGGAUCUAAAUUUUUGUUCCUGCUCCGUGUAAAGAGGCCAGUGUUUGUGUGUUGCAAGCAGCCUUGGAAUAGUAACUCUUCUCAUUUGUUUGGGAUCUGGCCACCAAGUUCCAGAAUGAUACACGGAUCAGUGCAGAAGUUCAUCAGGCUCUCGGACCUUAGGGCUGUUGGAGAAGGCUUCAGCAGCAGAACUGAUGGUGAAGGCUCGUGUUCUCCAUCCUCAACUUUCUUUGCUUCGAUCAUACACAAGAAUACAUUUGGAAGGGCAAAAAAUGAACACUGUCGUUCAUUGCAGCCGUGUUUUGUGACACAGAUGCACAGUCUGCUGUGAAGACCUUCUCUCAAGUGGCAUUUGGGAGUCCAUGCCAGAUCAUGGUGCUUCAUGAGAGACUGACAGCUAUCAGGGGUUGUGGCACUUAGUGAGGACUCUCCUCCCCCAGUGUGUGCUGAUGACACAUACACACCUGACAAUAGCUUGAGUCUUCUCUGUUCCUUUUACUCUGUAGCCAACAUACACAUGAUUUAAAACCCUUUCUAAAUAUCUAUCAUGGUUCAUCCUUGUCCAAAUGCAGAGUCAGAGCUAUUUGUACUUCAUUAUUAUUUCCAAGGCGAAUAGUUGGCUUUCUUUUUGCAAAAAUAAUUAAAGUUUUUGUAUGUUGCAGUUG